rnacentral:rRNA from 1 species
GAUAAACGCUGGCGGCGUGCAUGAGACAUGCAAGUCGAACGAAGGAUCGGGCUUGCUCGAUCCUUAGUGGCGGACGGCUGAGUAACGCGUAGGUGACCUACCCCGAAGUGGGGAAUAACUGCCCGAAAGGGUGGCUAAUACCGCAUGUGGUCGCACGUUCAUUCGUGCGAGUAAAGCCGCAAGGCGCUUCGGGAGGGGCCUGCGUCCGAUUAGCUCGUUGGUGGGGUAAUGGCUUACCAAGGCGACGAUCGGUAGGUGGUCUGAGAGGACGAUCACCCAGACUGGGACUGAGACACGGCCCAGACUCCUACGGGAGGCAGCAGUCGGGAAUUUUGCUCAAUGGGGGAAACCCUGAAGCAGCAACGCCGCGUGAGGGAUGAAGGCCUUCGGGUUGUAAACCUCUUUUGUCAGGGACGAUGAUGACGGUACCUGGCGUAUAAGCCACGGCUAACUACGUG